CGAAUUUAGUCUCAUCUCAUCCCCGUUUCUCCAUCAAUAACCACCGCGUAACAAUCUUGUCGCCACCAGAAACCAACUUGAAUCCUCCAUCUCCAUUGUUGAACUUCACCUCACCCUCUCCACCGUCUGAAACAAUCGAAAAAACAGAGCACGUGUAGAUUGUUUGUAAAAAUUCUACCUAUUUUUUAAUCAAAUCGAGAUUAAAGAUGAAAGUUGGAUGUACUUAACAAAAAAUUAUUGGAUUAAAUGUUAAAAAUUGUAUUAGUUCUUAAUCUUAUUGGUGUAUGAUGUGAAAAAGGAUAUAUAUAAUUUUCUAUGUUUGUUGUAUAAAACGCCCAUGGAGAAAAAUUAAGCAGAGGAAUCAAAGUUGGAUUUAUUUUGGUCAGUGGAAAGGAUUUAAUCGUGUGGGCUGAGUUAAAACAAUUUAAAUAAUGUUUAGAUUUAAUUAGGAGAAAAUGAAUUCCACGUAGGUGCCACAUAGGUAAAUUUAUGUGGGAAUAAGGAGAUUUAACGGAUGAAGGGUAAAUAUGGCCUCAAAGUUGGAUGGCGAGGGCAAAUAUAUCAAAAAAGUGUAACGAAGGGUAAAUAUGACCCUUUUCUAAAACUACAGGGGCAAAUAUGACCCUUUUCCGUAAAAAAUAUAUUAUUUUAUCCACUUUAACAUCUUCUAUACUUUGUUAAAAGGAAAAAUUACUGAAAUACACGUCUUAUGUUUCCCUUAUUUCCAAUAUCCCCUUCUAUUUCUAAAAACCUCUAAAAUUCCUUAUUUCUUCAAUGUAUCC
rnacentral:lncRNA from 1 species